AAUCACCCUCCUUCCUGUUCUUCAACCUCUCCUAGAAAGACUGGCUGAUGACCUUCAACUCCAGAUUGAAGAUUAGCAAAGCCCAAAUCUUCUCAGGGCAAGGAUGGAAGGAAGACAAGGUAUUGCACUCACGUGAAGAGGAUUUAGCCGUGGACACCAGGGCACCGGUGAUGAGGAGGAGGAAGAGGGAGAUGGCAGCCAUGGAGACUUUCAUCCUCCUGGGUUGAGGGAGCUGCUGCAGGAGGAGAACUUGCCUGGUAGGGGCUUCUGAAGCUCCUGGGCUGAGGUGGUGGUGAGAAA